UGUUGACAUCCGAGGCGCAUAAAAAAUUGAACUUUCUAUAUGAUAAUAGGAUUUAUUAUGCAAAUCCAACAGAGUGACGAUUCAAGGUGUUACAACAGAAUGAUUCAAAGUGUUACAAGAGACUGGGGCGAGCGCUUAUUUUGGAGGGCUUUUAUACUGAGAUUUUAGUCCCUCUGGAGGGGUUGUCGUCUGGUGUAUCUCAAAGACGCCUAUCCCGUUACUAUUUGGUUAUUGUUUCGAUGCCUGUGGUAUGCAGAAUGUCUAGCCUAUCCUAUUACUGUUUCUGAGCGGGUGGCCUUCUUGAGCGUGUGACACUAGCAACA